rnacentral:rRNA from 1 species
UACGAAGGGGGCUAGCGUUGCUCGGAAUCACUGGGCGUAAAGCGCACGUAGGCGAAUUGUUAAGUCAGGGGUGAAAUCCUGGAGCUCAACUCCAGAACUGCCUUUGAUACUGGCGAUCUCGAGUCCGGGAGAGGUGAGUGGAACUGCGAGUGUAGAGGUGAAAUUCGUAGAUAUUCGCAAGAACACCAGUGGCGAAGGCGGCUCACUGGCCCGGUACUGACGCUGAGGCGCGAAAGCUAGGGGAGCAAACAGG